UACAGAGGUCCCAAGCGUUGUUCGGAUUCACUGGGCGUAAAGGGUGCGUAGGCGGUCGGGGUAAGUCUGAUGUGAAAUCUCACAGCUUAACUGUGAAACUGCAUUGGAUACUAUCCGGCUCGAGGAAUGGAGGGGGAGACUGGAAUACUUGGUGUAGCAGUGAAAUGCGUAGAUAUCAAGUGGAACACCAGUGGCGAAGGCGAGUCUCUGGACAUUUCCUGACGCUGAGGCACGAAAGCCAGGGGGAGCAAACGGG
rnacentral:rRNA from 1 species